GAUGAACGCUGGCGGCGUGCCUAAUACAUGCAAGUCGAGCGAACGGACGAGAAGCUUGCUUCUCUGAUGUUAGCGGCGGACGGGUGAGUAACACGUGGAUAACCUACCUAUAAGACUGGGAUAACUUCGGGAAACCGGAGCUAAUACCGGAUAAUAUUUUGAACCGCAUGGUUCAAAAGUGAAAGACGGUCUUGCUGUCACUUAUAGAUGGAUCCGCGCUGCAUUAGCUAGUUGGUAAGGUAACGGCUUACCAAGGCAACGAUGCAUAGCCGACCUGAGAGGGUGAUCGGCCACACUGGAACUGAGACACGGUCCAGACUCCUACGGGAGGCAGCAGUAGGGAAUCUUCCGCAAUGGGCGAAAGCCUGACGGAGCAACGCCGCGUGAGUGAUGAAGGUCUUCGGAUCGUAAAACUCGGUUAUUAGGGAAGAACAGAUGUGUAAGUAACUGUGCACAUCUUGACGGUACCGAAUCAGAAAGCCACGGCUAACUACGUG
rnacentral:rRNA from 1 species